AUAUUAUCAUGCGUUCUCUAAUCAAUGCUUUACCCCAAUAGAACUGCAAGAGAUGCUUGCUGUUUGGCCUUGCUGUUUUUAUGAGUCAUUUAUGAGUUUAUGGCUUUCCUUUUAUCUAGGCUCUUUACUUUUAGUGACAGGGAUCUUUUGAUCCCUGUCAGCCAUAUAUAAAGUCUAGCAAAGGUCUAGUUGUAUUGUUCCACAGGAAAGCAGCAAUUAAAGUUAUCUGAUCUCACCCACGGCCAACAACUGGAGAAGAACAGAUGGACAAACCCUGCGCGGGUCACGGGCCGACGAUGAAGUGCUAAUUCACACCACACUACAUUCCUUAGCUAAUCAGCGUUGCUACAGACACAAUCUCCCCUCCCUUUAGUGUAGCAACGCCUCUGUAACCAGGGCAACCAAAACAUUAAAUAGAGGAGCACGUGGAGGGAGAACUCAGAAUUGAUGGAGAUUGUAACCGAGUUUCCUCUCUCUAUCGUUCUCCUCGCGAGAAAAGACUUAA